AGUGAACGCUGGCGGUAGGCCUAACACAUGCAAGUCGAACGGCAGCACAGUAAGAGCUUGCUCUUACGGGUGGCGAGUGGCGGACGGGUGAGGAAUACAUCGGAAUCUACUUUUUCGUGGGGGAUAACGUAGGGAAACUUACGCUAAUACCGCAUACGACCUACGGGUGAAAGCAGGGGAUCUUCGGACCUUGCGCGAUUGAAUGAGCCGAUGUCGGAUUAGCUAGUUGGCGGGGUAAAGGCCCACCAAGGCGACGAUCCGUAGCUGGUCUGAGAGGAUGAUCCGCCACACUGGAACUGAGACACGGUCCAGACUCCUACGGGAGGCAGCAGUGGGGAAUAUUGGACAAAGGGCGCAAGCCUGAUCCAGCCAUACCGCGUGGGUGAAGAAGGCCUUCGGGUUGUAAAGCCCUUUUGUUGGGAAAGAAAAGCAGCAGGUUAAUACCCCGCUGUUCUGACGGUACCCAAAGAAUAAGCACCGGCUAACUUCGUG
rnacentral:rRNA from 1 species